GAUGAACGCUGGCGGCGUGCCUAAUACAUGCAAGUCGAGCGAACAGAUAAGGAGCUUGCUCCUUUGACGUUAGCGGCGGACGGGUGAGUAACACGUGGGUAACCUAUCUAUAAGACUGGAAUAACUCCGGGAAACCGGGGCUAAUGCCGGAUAACAUGUUGAACCGCAUGGUUCUACAGUGAAAGGCGGCUUUGCUGUCACUUAUAGAUGGACCCGCGCCGUAUUAGCUAGUUGGUGAGGUAACGGCUCACCAAGGCAACGAUACGUAGCCGACCUGAGAGGGUGAUCGGCCACACUGGAACUGAGCCACGGUCCAGACUCCUACGGGAGGCAGCAGUAGGGAAUCUUCCGCAAUGGGCGAAAGCCUGACGGAGCAACGCCGCGUGAGUGAUGAAGGUCUUCGGAUCGUAAAACUCUGUUAUUAGGGAAGAACAAAUGCGUAAGUAACUGUGCGCGUCUUGACGGUACCUAAUCAGAAAGCCACGGCUAACUACGUG
rnacentral:rRNA from 1 species